GUCCUACGGGAGGCAGCAGUGAGGAAUAUUGGUCAAUGGUCGGGAGACUGAACCAGCCAAGCCGCGUGAGGGAGGAAGGUACAGAGUAUCGUAAACCUCUUUUGUCAGGGAACAAAGACUGGGACGCGUCCCCGGAUGAGUGUACCUGAAGAAAAAGCAUCGGCUAACUCCGUGCCAGCAGCCGCGGUAAUACGGAGGAUGCGAGCGUUAUCCGGAUUUAUUGGGUGUAAAGGGAGCGCAGGCGGGAAGCCAAGUCAGCUGUGAAAACUACGGGCUUAACUUGUAGACUGCAGUUGAAACUGGUU
rnacentral:rRNA from 1 species